rnacentral:tRNA from 1 species
GGCCUCAUCGUCUAACGGUUAGGACAGCGCCUUUUCAAGGCGUUAACCGGGGUUCGACUCCCCGUGAGGUCACCA